AUUGAACGCUGGCGGCAGGCUUAACACAUGCGAGUCGAGCGGAGAUGAGGUGCUUGCACCUUAUCUUAGCGGCGGACGGGUGAGUAAUGCUUAGGAAUCUGCCUAUUAGUGGGGGACAACAUUCCGAAAGGAAUGCUAAUACCGCAUACGUCCUACGGGAGAAAGCAGGGGAUCUUCGGACCUUGCGCUAAUAGAUGAGCCUAAGUCGGAUUAGCUAGUUGGUGGGGUAAAGGCCUACCAAGGCGACGAUCUGUAGCGGGUCUGAGAGGAUGAUCCGCCACACUGGGACUGAGACACGGCCCAGACUCCUACGGGAGGCAGCAGUGGGGAAUAUUGGACAAUGGGGGAAACCCUGAUCCAGCCAUGCCGCGUGUGUGAAGAAGGCCUUAUGGUUGUAAAGCACUUUAAGCGAGGAGGAGGCUACUGAGACUAAUACUCUUGGAUAGUGGACGUUACUUGCAGAAUAAGCACCGGCUAACUCUGUGCCAGCCGCCGCAGUAA
rnacentral:rRNA from 1 species